GACGAACGCUGGCGGCGUGCUUAACACAUGCAAGUCGAACGGUAAGGCCCUUCGGGGUACACGAGUGGCGAACAGGUGAGUAACAACGUGGGUGAUCUGCCCUGCACUUCGGGAUAAGCCUGGGAAACUGGGUCUAUACCGGAUAGGACUCCUGGCUUCAUGGUUGGGGUGUAAAGCUUUUGCGGUGUGGGAUGGGCCCGCGGCCUAUCAGCUUGUUGGUGGGGUAAUGGCCUACCAAGGCGACGACGGGCAGCCGGCCUGAGAGGGUGACCGGCCACACUGGGACUGAGAUACGGCCCAGACUCCUACGGGAGGCAGCAGUGGGGAAUAUUGCACAAUGGGCGCAAGCCUGAUGCAGCGACGCCGCGUGAGGGAUGACGGCC
rnacentral:rRNA from 1 species